rnacentral:tRNA from 1 species
AUAGCUCAGUGGUAGAGCGCGUGCUUAGCAUGCACGAGGUCCUGGGUUCAGUCCCCAGU